UGGGGAAUCUUGGACAAUGGGCGAAAGCCUGAUCCAGCCAUGCCGCGUGAGUGAAGAAGGCCUUAGGGUUGUAAAGCUCUUUUGGCAGGGACGAUAAUGACGGUACCUGCAGAAUAAGCCCCGGCAAACUUCGUGCCAGCAGCCGCGGUAAUACGAAGGGGGCUAGCGUUGUUCGGAUUUACUGGGCGUAAAGCGCACGUAGGCGGGUUGUUAAGUCAGGGGUGAAAUCCUGGAGCUCAACUCCAGAACUGCCUUUGAUACUGAAGAUCUUGAGUUCGGGAGAGGUGAGUGGAACUGCGAGUGUAGAGGUGAAAUUCGUAGAUAUUCGCAAGAACACCAGUGGCGAAGGCGGCUCACUGGCCCGAUACUGACGCUGAGGCACGAAAGCGUGGGGAGCAAACAGGAUUAGAUACCCCGGUAGUCC
rnacentral:rRNA from 1 species